UACGUAUGGUGCAAGCGUUAUCCGGAAUGACUGGGUGUAAAGGGAGCGUAGACGGUUGUUCAAGUCUGAUGUGAAAGCCCUCGGCUUAACUGGGGGAGUGCAUUGGAAACUGAAGGACUAGAGUAUCGGAGAGGCAAGGGGAAUUCCUAGUGUAGCGGUGAAAUGCGUAGAUAUUAGGAGGAACACCAGUGGCGAAGGCGGCUUGCUGGACGAAAACUGACGUUGAGGCUCGAAAGCGUGGGGAGCAAACAGG
rnacentral:rRNA from 1 species